rnacentral:rRNA from 1 species
UACGUAGGGGGCGAGCGUUGUCCGAAGUUACUGGGCGUAAAGCGCGCGUAGGCGGUCUUUUAAGUCUGGUGUGAAAGGUUCAGGGCUCAACCCGAACAGUGCACUGGAUACUGGGAGACUUGAGUGCGGGAGAGGAGAGUGGAAUUCCUGGUGUAGCGGUGAAAUGCGUAGAUAUCAGGAGGAACACCGAUGGCGAAGGCAGCUCUCUGGCCUGCAACUGACGCUGAGGUGCGAAAGCGUGGGGAGCGAACGGG